CCAUGUGAAGACAGGCCAUGUCUGCCUGUGCACAUUUAAACACAGGCUGGGUUGCCGCUGGCGGGCAGAAGGCUCCGUGGCAGGCUCCUCCCCUACCAGCUCACCAUGACCUUGCGUAGCUUGUAGUUCCUGGCGCGGAUGUCCUGCAUCAGCAUCUCGAAGGGGGUGAGCUGGAACUCAGUGGGCAAGGGGUUGAACUCUUGCUCCUGCACCUUCUUGAGCUUCACUCCGUGGCGGAGCUCCCGCAUGAGCUGGACCCACAGUCGGGCCUGGGCCCCCGAGAAGAUGAAGAUGGCCCUUAGCUCCCCCAGGCCCUCCAGGCACAGACCCUGGGGUGUGGGGGCUAAGGCCAGUGCUCCAGGUCGGGAGCGGAGCCGUUGCUUACCCAGUCUGUGUGUCCCAGGGUGUCAAGCUCCGCCAGAGGCUUCUCUGCCUGCAGUUCAUCCUCUCGAAGUUUCUGCAGCAUCUGCUCAUCCCGGAGAUGGUGGACAGAGCGGACUGUCCUAACAGCGGGACGCUGGCAGCCACACGAGGUGACAGUCCUGACAGCGGGACACCAAGCAGCCACACGAGGUGACCGUCCUGACAGCGGGACACCAAGCAGCCACACGAGGGCUCAAACCACAAGUCCUCAUCUUACACCCAAGGAAACCCUGUUUUCGUGGACUGCCAUUAGGAACUGGGGAAUCUGGGUUCUCUGGAGCGCACCUGCGAAGUGUCACUCGUUUUUCUGCUCAAUGCUGCCUGCACCUGACCUUCCCUGCUCCCACGUAGGCAACUGGACACAGAGGAGGGACCCUGCCUCUACUUUCAUUUUUCAACUUUUCCCCUUUAUGACAAUGAUACAAAAUGAC